GCAUUGCUUACGAGUCCCAUAAUAGGACGAAACGGCCGUCCAGUGC
rfam:Schistosoma mansoni strain Puerto Rico chromosome 6, complete genome